rnacentral:lncRNA from 1 species
UCAAGGGCCCAGUAGCAGGAGGACAGAGAGGAAAAAAUGGGGUUGUCCUACAUUCCAGAGAUAAGGUUCCCCUCAGAGUUUUAGGCCUCUGCCAUCAUUGCUACCAAUCUCAUUGCCAUGGAAUUGCUUGGGGGCUGAACAUGAGCAGAGAAAAGGUAAAAAAUCAAAAAACAAAAACAGAAUUUCUCCCACUCUAUUUUAGCAUCAGGGGGCCCUUUUCCCAUUGCUCAAGUCAACAGUAGAAGGGCUUCAACUAGAGCUACCUGUCCUUGCCAAUACUCAGUUCAGAGUUUCAGGCUGCACCAACCAGCCGUUCCUCUGUGCCUCUCUAUCUCCUCAGGCCUCCUUAUUCCCUGAGACACGGCAAUAUUGAAAUUAGGCCAGUUAAUAACCCUACAGUGGCCUCUAAGUGUUCAAGUGAAAGGAAAGGAAGAGUUGUACAUCUGUCACUUUAAAGCUAGAAAUCAUUAGGCCCAGUGAGGACAGCAUGUCAAAAGCUGAGAUAGGCUGAGAGCUAGAACUCUUGUGCCAAAGAGAUAGCCAAAUUGUGAAUACAAAGGAAAAGUUUGUGAAGGAAGUUAAAAAUGCUACACAAGUGAACAUGUGAAUGGUUCACUAAAAGUGAAAUAACCUUAUUGCCCAUAUGGAGAAAGUUCUAGUGGUUUGGAUAGAAGAUUAAACCAGCCACAACAUUCCCUCAAACCAAGCCUAAUCCAGAGCAAGGCCCAAACUCUUCAAUUCUGUGAAGGCUAAGAAAGGUGAGAAAGCUGCAGAAGAAAGAUUUAAAGCCAACAGAGUUGGUUCAUAAGGUUUAAGUAAAGAAGCUGUCUUAAUAACAUAAAAGUGCAAGGUAGCCAGGCGUGGUGGUUCACUCCUGUAAUCUCAGCACUUUGGGAGGCUGAGGUGGGCAGAUCACGAGGUCAGGAGAUCGAGACCAUCCUGGCUAACAUGGCGAAAUCCUGUCUCUACUGAGAAUACAAAAAAUUAGCCGGGCGUGGUGGUGGGCGCUGUAGUCCCAGCUACUUGGGAGGCUGAGGCAGGAGAAUGGCUUGAACCCGGGAGGUGGAGCUUCCAGUGAUCCCAGAUUGUGCCACUGCACUCCAGCCUGGGCAACAGAGUGAGACUCCAUCUCGAAAAAAAAAAAAAAAAAA